CCCUAUCGAGCUUUACUGGAUACCGAUAGCGUUAAUUUAGAAUGAUCGAUACUAAGUAUCCUAAUUCUAAGUUAAUAAUUUUUGUUGGUAGGACAGUUUAGUUGGGGCGACUACCUUUGAAUAAGAAACGAAGGCGAGCUUAUGGUAUUAUUUAAAAUCUCAUUAGCCUCACAGUGAGGGGGACACCCCUACCGGGCCCACCCCACAAAGACUUUUGUCCCCGGACCGGGGAUGUGGGCGAUAGUGACCCGAUAUGAUUAUCCAAAAUAAAUAUCGAAAGCGGAUAAAAGCUACCGUAGGG
rnacentral:rRNA from 1 species